UGGCUCAGUCUCGGCUCACUGCAAACUCUGCCCCCUGGGCUCAAGCGAUUCUUCUGCCUCAGCCUCCUGAGUAGCUGGGAUUACAGGCGCCUGCCACCAUGCCUGGCUAAUUUUUGUAUUUUUAAUAGAGAUGGGUUUUCGCCAUGUUGGCAAGACUGGUCUUGAACUCCAGACCUCAGGUGAUUUACCCACCUCGGCCUCCCAAAGUGCUGAGAUUACAGGCGUAAGCCACCGCGCCUGGCCAAGG
rnacentral:lncRNA from 10 species